UUACCAUGCAGUCGAACGAUGACCACUUCGGUGGGGAUUAGUGGCGAACGGGUGAGUAACUCGUGGGCAAUCUGCCCUGCACUCUGGGACAAGCCCUGGAAACGGGGUCUAAUACCGGAUACUGAUCCGUCUGGGCAUCCAGACGGUUCGAAAGCUCCGGCGGUGCAGGAUGAGCCCGCGGCCUAUCAGCUUGUUGGUGAGGUAGUGGCUCACCAAGGCGACGACGGGUAGCCGGCCUGAGAGGGCGACCGGCCACACUGGGACUGAGACACGGCCCAGACUCCUACGGGAGGCAGCAGUGGGGAAUAUUGCACAAUGGGCGAAAGCCUGAUGCAGCGACGCCGCGUGAGGGAUGACGGCCUUCGGGUUGUAAACCUCUUUCAGCAGGGAAGAAGCGAAAGUGACGGUACCUGCAGAAGAAGCGCCGGCUAACUACGUGCCAGCAGCCGCGGUAAUACGUAGGGCGCGAGCGUUUGUCCGGAAUUAUUUGGGCGUAAAGAGCUCGUUAGGCGGCUUGUCACGUCGGUUGUGAAAAGCCCGGG
rnacentral:rRNA from 1 species